UUUUCAUGUGGCUCUUCAAACAGGGUCCACUGAUUUAGUGUCAAUAUCCUCACCAACAAGCUAUGAUAAAUACUGUAGAGGAGUUUCACUGAUCAGCUCCCUACAUCAUCUAUCAAAAGAAGCUGAGAACAGGGCAGAAAAUGCACACUUACAGAAAGUUAACACAAUCUGAUAUAAGUAGGUCACUCCUCUUGGUCUGGCUUGAUGGGUUUUUACUGUUUUCAUCGGAGCAGCCAUUAGAAGGGUGCACACCUGAUGAAUUUCACAAAUCAGGAGAUGGGGGCAGCAUGGGCAGAUGGAAGGGCCCUGUGGAAAGCAAAGAGGUCACUAUUUUUCAUCAUCCACAUUCCUCAGGAAAGAAAACUCAUCCAUCACUGGCAGCAAACACUGGCAUAAAAAGUCUAACCUGCUCAGGUGAUUGAGACAACCUCAGGCUUUCCACGGUAUCCAGAGGGCACCAUAUAUAUGAAAUAUAUUUUCUUUUUGAGGAAGAUUUAAUUUUUUUCUAGGUUUUGAUUCACAAAACACAAUUAGGAGCUUAUUUGUGUUAAUUCCAACUACAACUGAACACUGAAGCUGAAUGGUGUCAGAAAAUGAAAUGAUCUUCCAUCAAGAUUAAAUAUGUGUGUCCUGAAAGACUGUUUUUCAAAAGUAGACUUAUUCUAACAAGAAAUUGAUUUGGAUGUACAAGUAUACUAUUAUUCAAAUAACUUUCAAACAUAACAGGGCUUAGAGAAAAAUGCCAUUUUCUACCUCAACAGAGCAUGUAAUGGUUUGUCACUGCACGUAAAGUUUAAUUUGCACAAAAACUCAAUAUGUCUUCCUGAAGCCCUCCCUCUCUGAGACCCAGGCGGGGCUAUCUGGACCUCCUUUCUCACUUCUGUCGGCCUGUGAAGUUUUAGGAAUGAAUGAAUACGACACAGUCUAUUACCAGCUGCACUGUUUCCAACUCCACUUAAACUACAAGGAAGAUUAAAGACGGUAUUUGGAAGGAAAUUCCCAAACCACAUGGGCAUCACCACAGUUAGGAACUAAGUCAGUGCUAGCCAGAGAGAGAGAGGAGCACCUGGGGCAGGUGGCCAUGAGGACAUCCAGACUGGGAGACCAACAUGUGCCAACGCCAGAGGUUGCAGAGCCGUGAGAGCAGGUGCAUGUUAGGGAGAGGAUCCUGGAAGCACCCCAGGGCCAGGAAAUGGGGCUGGUGCCAGGGGCAGGGGUCAGAUCUCAAAGGUCUCUCCUCACGUGUCCUGGAAAGAAGUUUGGGUUUUCUUUCUCCUGAAGGUGAUGGAAGACACACCAGUGAAGGAUUUUGAGCAGGGCAGUGACACUGACCAUCAGAAAGCCUGGAAGAGCAUAUCCCCAGACAGAAGCAUGGAUCUAAGAUACCAACAGCAUCCCACACUCCGUUUGACUUUUGUUCACAUACAUUUCAGUGCUGAGUUCCUGCACCAUCCCUGCACUCCUCUUCAUUAACCUCCUGCCCCCAUCAACAGCAUAAGUGGAUUAUUUCAAAGCAAACCCUAAGCCUACUGAACUCUCAAAGGCAAUGGAGGACUCUGAAGGCCAAGCUCAGCUAAAUGUUUUUGCUUCUUGCCUCUUUCCUUUUUAAUUACAGUGUAAUUUGCAUUUAUGUGAUUUCCUUCUGCCAUUGGGUUGUGGACAGCAUUGAUGAUGAUCGACAUUCCAUAACUUCCCAUCAUAGCUGGAGAGCAGAAGGAUGGCCGCCGUCUCAGAUAAAAUUCUAUCCAAUUAAACAGUUCAAUGAACACGUCAUGGUUUGAGGUUCUCAUUAUCCUCUGUGUGCAUGUCUCAUGGAUAUUUCUUUACACCCAUCAUCGUAAUAAGGUCUUAGUGCAGAAGAUGCUCCA
rnacentral:lncRNA from 1 species